CAAGAAUAUUUCAGAUCUCAAGUAAACGAAACGGAAACGUCUCUUAUUAGUCUGUCAUCAAAGCAACACCCUCGUUCUAUUUUUAAAUUUUUGUUCUAAAUUCUAAUUUUUCACAAAAUCUCACAAUAACGCUCUUAUUACAAUUAAUUGUAACAAAGUCCUAUAAACUACUUUUCGACAAUUUUUCAUUAUGGUAAAUUCAAGCUUAGCGUAUGAAAUACUUUUAUACAUCAAUUCUUUUUACUUCGGACUAUUCGCUACGUGUGAAUUAGGAACACUAAUCUUGAAGUCUGUAUUGAUCGGAGGAAAAUAUGAUGAUAUAUAUCAUAAAAGAACAAGGUUGGGACAAGAUUACGGGGUACUAGUAGCCCUUUUUAUCGUCGAAGCUGCUAGACUUUUUUUGGGUCGUAAGGGAAGUCUGAGUGAAAGAGAUGUCCCAGUAAUGUUUUCAGUACUUCUGACUGUUCCUUCAAUAGGAGGCGUUGUGUACUUACUGAAAUGGCAAGUAGUUAUUUUAAGAAUUGAGUACAUUUGGUGUACACUCAUGUUAUCAUUACAAAUGCUGGAAUUCAUGUUUGCGUCCAUGUUUAUAGUCACAAUGUGUAGAGGUCCUUCAUAUGAUUAGUAACUUGCUAUUUGUGUCUAGUGGUCCAAAUUAAACUACUUACUGUAUAUAUAUGUAUACAUACAUAUAUCCAAGUUCUAAUAUUUUUAUAUAUGAGACAAUGUGCCUGUGACAAAAUAAAGUCACCAAAUAAAUAUUUAUUAGAUAUGAUAAUUAAAAUAAAUAUAUUAUGGUAGAUUUUAUAUUUAUAUUAAAUAAGAGCAAAACACUUUUAAAGCAACAAUUACUGCUUUCCUUAAACUUAAUUAUACCAUAUAUUAGUUAAGACUUGAAUGUUACUAAUCUAUUUACAUAUAUUUAAUAUUUGAGUGUAUAAUAGUUAUAAGUCAUUAUUUAUCCUAAAUAUGCUAGACCAAGAGUUAUAACACAAUGGGCUGAUAAUUAUAAAGAAUGGAAUUUAUUAAAAAUAAUAACCAAUAUAUACAAACUUAGAUUCUAUUCAAAAUGUACUAAAUCUUUUAUCUAAUAACUUUAAUAUGUGUUAAUUUUUUUGAAUAUCCCUUAUUUUAAUUUCUAUUUAACAUGUAAAAGAUUUCAUCUAUUGUUGUAAGCAUAGCUUUUUUCUAUAUUUACCAUAAAUUAGAUAUGUAUCUUUCUGUUAUGUUGUAUAUGUUUAAGAAAUACACAAUAGACAUAAGAAUGAAUAUAUUAAUAUGACCAUAGUAUCUUUGGAUAAGAUUUUGUUAUUGUUUUACAUUUUUACCAAACAUAGUCCCUAAUUAAAAAGUACAGGAAUGUUCCUAUAGAACUAUUAAUACAUUAUACAUUGCCUAGAUGUAUUAUCCUACCCCUGAGGAUAUGUGAUUAUAAGUGGCCUUUUUGAAAGCCUUACAUAUAUAGCAUUCUUCCAUUGUAAAUUUAUAAUUGAGAUGUUACACCAAAGAUUUACACAUUUAAAAAAUAUAUUUAUGAGUAAUUUACCCAGUAAUUCAAAUGUGUCUGUAUAUUGUAUUUUUAUUGCUACAAAUGUUAAACAAGUUAUUAAAGGAUCUAGUCAAACAAA